UUCACUCUACCAGCUCUACAAUCAAGUAGGUUUUUCCAAACAAAAACCUAUUUUGCUGUUUCAUUUUACCUUCUGAUCUCUGUGUUCCAGUAUUUAUUUAAAAUAGUAAUUCAACUCCAAAAUUCACCAAAUUUUGUAUGCUGGAGCCCUUAUAUGUUUAGUGCAUCUCUAUAAAUUUUCGUAUUUUUCUGGGUAGUUUUGCUUAGUGUUUCAGUUUGUCUUUCGACUGUUGUUCAGUAGGAACUGCAGUCACGAUUUAUGACUUUUGUUGAAGCAUCUAGUUUAACUUAAUCCUCUAUGAGAGACACUUAUUUCUCUUGCACUAUAAUUGGCAUAAUUGAAUGAGUAAAAGGGAAAAUCAAUAGCUUUUAUUUUAGCUAUCAAUUCAUGUAUAUUGUGACAAAUAUCUAUAUAUACUUGUUUGGACUUUGUGAUAAUGAUACAUCUUUCCUUCAUUAUUUAUUAUGAUAAUGUUUUGUGGUGUUACCUGCUCAUAUUAAAUUUAAAUAUUUUACCUGCUUAAAUUCUUUGCAUUAGAAUAUAUAUGUGUGGAAUGCAGGUACUUAACGAACUGGAAGUUCACACAUAAACAUUGAAUCAAAAGUUCAUACAUAAAUAUUGAACCAGAUGUUCACAUGUAUCGAACCUGUAGUUUCGACAACACUAAAAGAUUAUGAACCUUUCCAAGUAGGCUCAUCCAAUUAGAUGCGAUGUCUAGACCAGCUUGAGCCCAGCAGGCCCAUUUUCCUUCCUCAAGACCGAGCAGCCCAACAGGCCUCACACACUAUUUGACUAGUGCAUGAAAGCCUGGGUCACGAGCUCGCAGCUAAGCCCCGUAGGUAGGCUUUAUUAUCAAGCCCACUCUUUCUUUGGUCCAGUAGAACCAAAUAAAAGGAAAAAUAAUUUGAUUCUAUUG
rnacentral:lncRNA from 1 species